UACUAUGUGAAGCAUUUAUUGUUUUAUCUUUUAGAUUGGUUUUACUGGUUGUGGAAUCAAUCCGGCACGAUCCAUGGGUCCCGCUGUCAUCAUGAAUAUCUGGACUGAUCACUGGGUGUACUGGAUUGGACCAUUAGGAGGAGGUAUGAUAGCAGGAGUACUUUACCAGCUGGUAUUCCGUGCCCGAGAAGAACAAGUACCUAUCACUGAACCUGGUGGCAUUGUUUUAAACAGCUUGGAGUCACGCUAGAGCUCUGGUUUGCUGUGCCAAAUAUAUGUACUAGAUUUGUACUACUUUGUACUAGAUCACGGUACGCGCGCUUUUCGCGCGUGCUUUAUAGACCCUUGCACUGAGUCCAUAAGAGGAAUAGACCAUUUUCGACCGCUGUGUUUCUUGAUUACAGACUCAUUUACUCAGGUUUAGCCUCGAAUCUGUGUCUAAAUAUUGACAAAUACCAACGGUAAAGUAAGAAUG